rnacentral:rRNA from 1 species
UACGUAGGGUGCAAGCGUUGUCCGGAAUCAUUGGGCGUAAAGAGCGUGUAGGCGGCCUGGUAAGUCCGCUGUGAAAGUCCAGGGCUCAACCCUGGAAUGCCGGUGGAAACUGUCAGGCUCGAGUCCGGAAGAGGCGAGUGGAAUUCCUGGUGUAGCGGUGAAAUGCGCAGAUAUCAGGAGGAACACCAAUGGCGAAGGCAGCUCGCUGGGACGGUACUGACGCUGAGACGCGAAAGCGUGGGGAGCAAACAGG